rnacentral:rRNA from 1 species
AGCCAGACUCCUACGGGAGGCAGCAGUGGGGAAUAUUGCACAAUGGGGGAAACCCUGAUGCAGCGACGCCGCGUGAGCGAUGAAGUAUUUCGGUAUGUAAAGCUCUAUCAGCAGGGAAGAAGAUGACGGUACCUGACUAAGAAGCCCCGGCUAACUACGUGCCAGCAGCCGCGGUAAUACGUAGGGGGCAAGCGUUAUCCGGAUUUACUGGGUGUAAAGGGAGCGUAGACGGCGGCGCAAGCCAGAUGUGAAAGCCCGGGGCUCAACUCCGGGACUGCAUUUGGAACUGUGUGGCUGGAGUGUCGGAGAGGCAGGCGGAAUUCCUAGUGUAGCGGUGAAAUGCGUAGAUAUUAGGAGGAACACCAGUGGCGAAGGCGGCCUGCUGGACGAUGACUGACGUUGAGGCUCGAAAGCGUGGGGAGCAAACAGGAUUAGAUACCCCAGUA